GGUCCGUUCGUCUAGGGGUUAGGACGUCACCCUUUCACGGUGGAGACACGGGUUCGAUUCCCGUACGGACUACAA
rnacentral:tRNA from 1 species